rnacentral:rRNA from 1 species
ACACAUGCAAGUCGAACGAAGCAAUCUUGAAACCUAGCGAUGGAUUGACUGAGUGGCGGACGGGUGAGUAACGCGUGGGUAACCUGCCUCAUACAGGGGGACAACAGUUAGAAAUGACUGCUAAUACCGCAUAACCCGCUAGGGCCGCAUGGCCCGGACGGAAAAGGAGCAAUCCGGUAUGAGAUGGACCCGCGUCUGAUUAGCUGGUUGGUGGGGUAACGGCCUACCAAGGCAACGAUCAGUAGCCGAACUGAGAGGUUGACCGGCCACAUUGGGACUGAGACACGGCCCAAACUCCUACGGGAGGCAGCAGUGGGGAAUAUUGCACAAUGGGGGAAACCCUGAUGCAGCGACGCCGCGUGAGUGAAGAAGUAUUUCGGUAUGUAAAGCUCUAUCAGCAGGGAAGAAAAUGACGGUACCUGACUAAGAAGCCCCGGCUAACUACGUGCCAGCAGCCGCGGUAAUACGUAGGGGGCAAGCGUUAUCCGGAUUUACUGGGUGUAAAGGGAGCGUAGGUGGUAUGGCAAGUCAGAGGUGAAAACCCAGGGCUUAACCUUGGGAUUGCCUUUGAAACUGUCAGACUAGAGUGCAGGAGGGGUAAGUGGAAUUCCUAGUGUAGCGGUGAAAUGCGUAGAUAUUAGGAGGAACACCAGUGGCGAAGGCGGCUUACUGGACUGUAACUGACACUGAGGCUCGAAAGCGUGGGGAGCAAACAGGAUUAGAUACCCUGG